rnacentral:rRNA from 1 species
AUGGCCAAAUGCAGCAAGAUCCGCGACAUCGUCUGGCUCCGGCAGACCCUGCGGAGGUGGCGGUCCCGCGCCGCGGCGCGCGUGGCCGAGGGCGGCGCGGUGCCGGCAGGGCACGUGGCGGUGUGCGUGGGCGGGGCCUCGCGGCGGUUCGUGGUGCGGGCGGCGCACCUGAACCACCCCGUCUUCCUCGAGCUGCUCCGGCAGGCGGAGGAGGAGUACGGCUUCCGGACCGGCGCGUGCGGCCCCAUCGCGCUCCCCUGCGACGAGGACCGCUUCCGGGACGUCCUCCGCCGCGUCUCCUCCGAGGAGCGCCGCGGCCGUUCCUUCGGCUGCCGCGCGCCGGCCGCCAGCGGGCGAGACAUCGCGGCGCGGCCGUUGCUGCAGCGGGCGGCGGCGGAGGAGCUCGUGUGGUGA